UUGAGUUGAGUUGAGUUGUAUAUUAUAAGAAAAGAAAUUUGAAAGUGGAAACUUGGCAAGUAUAAAUAUGGAUAGUAAAAAUGUGAAUAUGUGAUAGAGUGAACUAGAAAGUAAAUACGAGUUGAAAAAAAUAAAUCACUGUGGUGAUGAUGUAUUUUUUAAAAUUAUAGUUAUAUAAGUUAUGUGAUCAUGAUAUACUUGGUGGCAAUGAUUUUAUUGAGUUAUGAGGAAUUGGCUCAACAUGACCAUGAUGUUAUCAUGAUUGUAAAUGACAAUUAUGGUGGUUGUUGAUGCUCCUAAUUCAAAAUGUUAAGGAGUAUGAGAAAUAUUAGUAAGUUAAGAUUUUUAUUUAAAUAUUAUAUUAUAGAACCUAUAUCUUGAUGGAGUGCUACAAGAGAACUAUGGGUCUUAUGAAUAUAUCAAAUAUGAUAUGUGAAUAUAAGAGUGUUAGCAAUAAGAAGAAGUUAUAAUGUGUGAUCAUUGAAUUUUAUUGGGAGUCCUAUGCUUACAUGAUGAGAAAGAAUGGUUGGUUCUAAUAAGGAUUAUGAAAGAUUAAGGUGAAUUAAGAGCCUUGUUACUUUCUUAUAUGUACCUGUCAGAUCACCCUUUGAUGAUGAGGUUAAUAUUUUAGCAUUAUACUAUC
rnacentral:misc_RNA from 1 species